AGAGAGGUCACCUCAGUGACUUAACAUGGGAGUCACCCAGGCUGGUUCUCAUUUUUUUUUAAACACACGAUUCCUUUUCUCCUUCCCCCACCCCCAGAGACUUCUCUGGGUUUGACUGGACUCCGGAAUCUAUAUUUUUAGAAGGUUCCCUGGUGAUUCAGAUAAGUUCAGUCUGUGACCCACUGGCACACUCACCUUCAGACAGAGGAAUAUCUGCUUGGAUGUUCUGGGUGUACAAGCAUCUGGCUGGCAUAAGUUUUCCCCUUUUGAAGACAUGGAAAAUAGCAGAUGCUCAUUUAAAUGAGGGUGGGAAGACCAAAUCUCCAGCGCAUCUCUCCACGGUACUGAGCCGCUCCGAACAAAAGCUCCAGUCUUGAAAGGUGAAAUGUACGUCAGACCAUCCACAUCUUUCCAUUGUAUCAAGGCUCUUAUCCACUUGGUCUUUCCCACUUUGAAGGGGGAACACAAGCUGUGCAACUCACUCAAGUUUUCCAUUUUUCUCAACUUUUUAAAAGCAAACCCUAUGUGUCAUGGUC
rnacentral:lncRNA from 1 species